rnacentral:lncRNA from 1 species
GGAUGUGCUUUAUGCUAAUUUGACAUGAAUAUUUCAACAUCAUUUAGCAAAAGGAGCAGAGAUACAGCCCAUGUCAAAAACACCAUCUCAAUCUUGGGGUUACCAUAUUCUCCAGUGGUUUCUUUAAUUACAGAUUUAUGAAGUGAGACCGUCCCAGGCAGAACAGAAAUUGAAUAUACCAAUCAGGAAGGAGACGCUCAUAGCAACUGUGGAACACUGAAAAUAAAUAAAUAGAUAAAAAGUUAUCGGCAUCAAAACAAAAAGGGCCUUAUGGUUUCAUCAUAUGGAGCUGUGACAAGUCAGUAUUCUAUCUGAAAACUGAUGGAAACCGAAAUCAGCAAAAAUAAAUCCUGAUGUGAGCAGACACUCAACCUCUUGUCUUUGAUAUUCCCUAUCAAUUGCCUUGGGAUAUGCUUUAUGCCGGUUGUCUUUACUGAAGCCUUCCAACCUUAUUGCCCGGGAGGCAUUACUUCCAUCAAACAGAUGAGGAGGUUGAGGCCCAGAGUCAGUAAGCAAUGGAGCCCAGAUCUGGAAGCCUGUUCUUGACAGCUGGCUGCCUCCCAAAGAUAAACAUGGGUGAGUUAAAGCUGUGGAACACUGUGAAUCUGAGAAGAGGACAAGAUUGCUUGCCUGUGUGCCCACAAGAGGCACCCACCAAAGGAUACUCAUGCCUAGAAGAGAAAUAAAAUGGCCAUUUAUUCCCACCUUGGCUAUUUAAGUUAUGCUGCAGUUGUGGGGCCACAACUCUCCUUAGGGGCAGGAGAGAGCUAAUAAAAUGUGGCCUUGUAAUUGAAGCCCAUACAUUUUCUUCCUAAAGAUCUCUUUCCUCUUAUACUAUUUUGUAUGAAUUCGACGUCUCUUCCUCUCCUAGCUGAGGAAGGCCUCUGUGGCUCUACAUACUCUCUUUAGAGGAGAGUGUAGCUUGAUCCACAAAUCCUGGAUGUUACUUGACGAUUUCUAAUUUAAACAAACAUCUGUUACUAGCACAAACCAUUGGAAGUAAGAAAAAUAAAAAGCUUUAAAAAAAAAAAACUUCACAAAACUAAAAAUAAAAGAAGUAAGAUAUUCAAGAUGUUAAACAUGUACAGUUACGUCACGAGGUGAAAACUUUAAUUGGCUUGGUUUGAGGGUUAGGCGUAUGAUUCACACAUUAUUCUGUCACUUGAAAGGUACACAAUAUCUCAGACUUUUCUGCAUAAAUUCCUUUUUGACCAUCUCAUUCCCUCUUGGUCUUUCUGAUUUGGGGAUGUACAGUUACGGCAUAUCAAUUACCAUUUAUAGAUGUGGCAGAUAUGAUUAUAAUGUACUCUAUGAAUUAGUUCCAAUUGUUUUGUUUAAAAAGCCAAUUGUGACUCUAGAAAUUGACUUGAGAGGAGAAAAAUAAAAGGUUGACGUUAAAUUAUGGCAUACCCUCUUUUGGGAAAAG